CUCCCUGGUUUCCCUAGGUUCCGUGGCUCCCUCUUCUGUGGUCUCUUCCCCUCCUCCUCCUCCUAACUCUGAGGUUAUGGGUUCACUUAAAAACCUUGCCUCUGGU
rfam:Mesocricetus auratus contig004433, whole genome shotgun sequence.